rnacentral:rRNA from 1 species
GAUGAACGCUGGCGGCGUGCCUAAUACAUGCAAGUCGAGCGAACGGACGAGAAGCUUGCUUCUCUGGUGUUAGCGGCGGACGGGUGAGUAACACGUGGAUAACCUACCUAUAAGACUGGGAUAACUUCGGGAAACCGGAGCUAAUACCGGAUAAUAUUUUGAACCGCAUGGUUCAAAAGUGAAAGACGGUCUUGCUGUCACUUAUAGAUGGAUCCGCGCUGCAUUAGCUAGUUGGUAAGGUAACGGCUUACCAAGGCAACGAUGCAUAGCCGACCUGAGAGGGUGAUCGGCCACACUGGAACUGAGACACGGUCCAGACUCCUACGGGAGGCAGCAGUAGGGAAUCUUCCGCAAAGGGCGAAAGCCUGACGGAGCAACGCCGCGUGAGUGAUGAAGGUCUUCGGAUCGUAAAACUCUGUUAUUAGGGAAGAACAUGUGUGUAAGUAACUGUGCACAUCUUGACGGUACCUAAUCAGAAAGCCACGGCUAACUACGUG